AAACAUGUCUUUUUGAAAAUAAUUUAAAGUUUAAUCUGCCCACUGAUNAAAUUAUUAAAGGGCUGCAGUAUUUUGACUGUACAAAGGUAGCAUAAUCAUUAGUCUCUUAAUUGGUGACUUGUAUGAAAGAUUGGAUGAAAUAUAUACUGUCUCUAUUUAAUCUAUAAAAUUUAAUUUUUUAGUUAAAAAGCUAAAAUAAAUUUAAAAGACGAGAAGACCCUAUAGAGUUUGAUAAUUUAUUUAAUUAUUAUUAAUAUAUAAAUUUAAAAAUUAAAGUUAAAUAAAUUAUUUUAUUGGGGUGAUAGAAAAAUUAAAUUAACUUUUUUUUUAUUUUAUACAUUAAUUUAUGAAUGAAUGAUCCAUUAAUAAUGAUUAAAAGAAAAAAUUACCUUAGGGAUAACAGCGUAAUUUUUUUUUUUAGUUCAAAUAGGAAAAAAAGUUUGCGACCUCGAUGUUGGAUUAAGAUAAAAUUUAAAUGAAAAAG
rnacentral:rRNA from 1 species